CCCGCAGCGGGGACAUGCUUGUCUCUGAGAAUGUAACCAUGUGAAUAUGGAGGUCUCCACCGCCACCACUGUCAUCAGCACAGUUGCUCAGAGCCAGGCAGAGCAGAGUGUUAGCCAUGAAGGUGAUGCAAAGGGUAGGAGGCAUGACCUCAAGACGGUCACAACCCAGAUGGCCACUGUUCUGCAGUCUCACCCAAAGAGUUGAAAUAAACAAACACUCUGGUCCACACGUUGAUUCAACAAGAAAGGCAGAUGAGAUGAUAAACUCCCAAACUUCCUGAGAAGUCUUUAAAACUGGGUGUUUACACUUACAGAGUGUGUUGAUUCAGACUAGGCACCAUUCUCAAGAGCCACAAGGGCCUAGUGGCUACUGUCUUGGACAGUGCAGUCCUGGACAGGACAAUAUAAGGAUGUGAAGCUGGAUCUGUUCCUGUCUUGACAUCACAAGUAUGUGUGGGAAGGGGAGCUUGUGCCAAAACUGAUUGCGUCUAGGGAAGUGAAUUGAAAAUUAGCUAGGACCUUGGUGGUAUCAUUUGAGUCACCAGUGGAAGCAUCGCUUAAAAUGAGCAUUACCUCAGGACAUUUCAGUUUUGUGAAUCUGUAAGUUUCCUUUAGUACUGAAACUAAUUCAAGUUGAAAUUUCUGUCAUUUCCCAUCAAAUGAAUCUCAACAG
ensembl:lncRNA